UACGGAGGGGGCAAGCGUUGUUCGGAAUUACUGGGCGUAAAGGGUGCGUAGGCGGGUCUUUAAGUCAGGGGUGAAAUCCUGGAGCUCAACUCCAGAACUGCCUUUGAUACUGAGGAUCUUGAGUACGGGAGAGGUGAGUGGAACUGCGAGUGUAGAGGUGAAAUUCGUAGAUAUUCGCAAGAACACCAGUGGCGAAGGCGGCUCACUGGCCCGUAACUGACGCUGAGGCACGAAAGCGUGGGGAGCAAACAGG
rnacentral:rRNA from 1 species